GCGCGAGUGGCGGAAUUGGUAGACGCGCUAGCUUGAGGUGCUAGUGCCCAACUUAUCGGGCGUGGGGGUUCAAGUCCCCCUUCGCGCACAA
rnacentral:tRNA from 12 species